rnacentral:rRNA from 1 species
AAAAAAACGUAACAAGGUCUCCGUUGGUGAACCAGCGGAGGGAUCAUUACCGAGUUUACAACUCCCAAACCCCUGUGAACAUACCUUAAUGUUGCCUCGGCGGAUCAGCCCGCGCCCCGUAAAACGGGACGGCCCGCCAGAGGACCCAAACUCUAAUGUUUCUUAUUGUAACUUCUGAGUAAAACAAACAAAUAAAUCAAAACUUUCAACAACGGAUCUCUUGGUUCUGGCAUCGAUGAAGAACGCAGCAAAAUGCGAUAAGUAAUGUGAAUUGCAGAAUUCAGUGAAUCAUCGAAUCUUUGAACGCACAUUGCGCCCGCUGGUAUUCCGGCGGGCAUGCCUGUUCGAGCGUCAUUUCAACCCUCAAGCCCCCGGGUUUGGUGUUGGGGAUCGGCUCUGCCCUUCUGGGCGGUGCCGCCCCCGAAAUACAUUGGCGGUCUCGCUGCAGCCUCCAUUGCGUAGUAGCUAACACCUCGCAACUGGAACGCGGCGCGGCCAUGCCGUAAAACCCCAACUUCUGAAUGUUGACCUCGGAUCAGGUAGGAAUACCCGCUGAACUUAAGCAUAUCAAAACGGGAAAGAAAA